GUCAUAAUCAUUAUAGUCUCAGUUUUGACGAGCACUCAGUAGUUGCAACUACUGCUCUUCUGUCCGUGGAUAUUGUCAGCCGCAUUGAUACGUUUCCAGGGAUCAGCGAGAACUGACUCUCUUUUCGAGCUGCUGAGAAGUUUGCCAUCAUGGGGUUUCUUUCGAAUCCGAUGUCAACCCUGACUGUACUGCUGCUGCUAUUAGCAGUUUGGAGCAGAUCUUGUGAAGGAAAUGAUUGUUCUCCUUGCGAAUGUGAUGGACCGGAAAAGAACAGAACUCUUACAAGCUGUGUCGGCAGUUAUCAAACAUUGUGAGUCACAUGGUUAAAUCAAACUCGGAUGGAGAGCCAAGGAUUAAACUUGAAAAAGAGAGGACCAUACGUUUACAAGACAGAUAGUUAUCAGUUUUGGUCCAACACUAGCAAUUAUAAGCAGGACAACGGGAAGUCAGAAUGUACAAUAAUUAGCAUUGACUUACCGGUAUCACCUUUAACUUUCUUACCGUGUUCCAUAACUUAGAACAUUGGAAGUGGGAAGGCUCUUGGUUUGCGCAAUCCAGACGUGAUGCAGCUAAGCAUCAGGUCGUUGAGUGUCAGUAUCACAUCAGUCAGUUUUGUGCUAAUUGUUGCGAGUUCUGACUCACCAGUAUCCCUCUUAUAAUUGUUGGCAAAGAAAAACGCAGUUUGUCAAGUGAUAACCUCUCUAUUCAGUUGCUAUUCACAAUUUGCGCAUGCACUGCAUUCAAAAUUCUUUAUUGUUAUGUAUAAACUCGGAUACUGAGCCAGUAAUAAAUGUAAAAAAGAGAAGAGAUGUGUUAGAGCUAGGUCUUGGGUAGAGCUAGGUCUUGGGUAGAGCUAGGUCUUGGGUUGCUGAAUAUCUCAGUGGCCUGGCAGUUUUGGGCCAUAUUUUCGCACUUUCUGACCGUUUACCAUCUUGUUACAGUCGUGGAUAGUUGCUGCAUAAC